CUCGGGUCCUGAGAGGAAUGGAGAGUCGCCUCAGAGUUUCAUUCUUCUGUCUUUCAGUCCUGCUUCUACACAAGCCAGCCGGACAGAGGACAAGGAGGUUAAGUGACUUUCUCAGAAUCACACACAGUGAGUUAGUGGGUGAGCUGGGAUUGAACUGGGAACCUCCUGGCUACAAGCACCUUUCUCUCACCACUGGACCACCAAGCCUCUUCAUUACUUUAAACCACAAGCCCACCAAAUAUCCAUUUACUUCCUCUACCUUGUGAAGACAUUGUUCCACCAGACCCCAUUCUG